rnacentral:lncRNA from 1 species
UCACAACAUAACACAUCCUAUGUUAUUACAUGCAUUCACAAUAAUACAUUUACUUUACAUCCAACUCCCAAAUGCAAUUAAGUUAUUACAUCAUUUGCUUAUUACAAAUUGAUACAUUGUAUUCUUUUCAUUUCCCAAACCCCUAGGCUAUGUCGACGGGGUAUUGCUAUCUCUGGUCUCUGGGUAGAGCGCUAUCUAUGGAGUUACGCCCUUUCCUCGCACCGCCGCGCCGCUCACGUGCGAACCUGAAACAUCCCAAAACAACGUGGGGUGAGAACCAACUCCAUGAUUCCCAGUGGGUACGGCCACCUAAGGGAGGAGCUCGACCAAUAGGUCCAAGGAGGCAACAACAUGUUAGUUCAAUAGAUAGAUAUGAAAUCACAAUUUAAAUGCAACUAACAUAUAUCAUGCUUUGCCUCACAAUAUGCAACAGGAAGAUUAUGCAACUAUGCAACUGUAUAUGCAACAGGAAUAUUAUGCAACUAUGCAACUGUAUAAACAACUAGUAGAUAUGUUAAUCCUAUAUUUACUUUGCUAACUUUAGCUCUUACCUUUAUAACUAGCUUAUAAGGUUUCUAUUAACUUAAUCAAGUUAACCACCCGGCUUGGUCUCGAGUCAAUCAUCCGCGGAUAGUCCGUGCACUGGCUGCAUCUCAGCCUGGCUGCCGUCACAGCCUACCGCACCUCUAACUUAACCAUCUGGCAGCGAAUUCAUCGCAUCGACCCAACAAUGACUCAAGUCAUGACUUAGCCACCUGACGGCGAACUCAUCGCAUCACACCCAACAAUGGCUCAAGUCAUGGCUUAGUCAUCUGGCAGCGGCCACUCGCUCUCACCCAGCAAUAGUUCAAGUCAAUCUAGGCGGCAUCAUCUGAUAAGCUAAUGGGCGAGGAGAACCACACAUACCCAUUUCCAGCUUAUCCUCAUGGCAUCCCGGGCGAGGAGAACCACACAUACCCGUUGAAUCACUACCAGGCGAGGAGAACCACACAUACCUGCAGUUAUGAUUCGCUUGCCAUCUCUUUUACCACAAGUGCCACCGCUUUCUUUGUGGCCACUUCACUAGAGAUUCCGGAAUCCAUUUCACGACUCAAGGGUUGGUCUCAAACCCUAUAGUAUCGACCUAUCUAGGUCCAGUGUCCUUUUUCACCCUAGGUCCAACUGACUCUAGGUUCAAUACCUUUAUCACGUAUCCUAGGUUUACUUUAACUCUAGGCUCAAUUCUCAACCUAUGUUUUCGACACUAGGUUAAUACCACACACCUAGAUUCGAUUAACUCUAGGUUCAUUCUCAACCUAUGUUCUUUAACACUAGGUUAGAUGCCACUCGAUCUAGUUCACAUGACUCUAGAUUCAUUCACAACCUAUGUUCUUUAACACUAGGUUAAGUGCCACUUGAUCUGCUUGACAUCCUAUUAUCAUCUCGAGUCUACAUGUACAUGAAUCUUAUCCAACAUGCUCAUUAUACACAUAUGUAUUAAUAUGCAUUUACUUACUAGCAUGUACUAUCAAUGCAUUAUCAUGCAAAUAUCACUAGCAUGGUUUCUUAUCAUAUUAACAUGCACAUUACAUUUAGCAUUUCUAGACUAUGUCAUCAACAUGCAUUUCAUUCUAUGCAUUAUAUUUACAUGCAUCCUUCUAGUUUACAUAUAUAUAUAUAAUCUUUUAUAUGCAUCUACUUUAGCAUUUACAUCAUAUCAUGCAUUACUAGCAUUACAUUAUUAUCAUGCAUUACUAGCAUUAUGUAACUUGCUCACUAUGCAUUUCUACUUAGCAUUUACAUUAACAUGCAUUGUUUAACACUUAUAUGCAUCAAUACGAAUUCUUAAUUUUCUUAGACAUAAGGGCGACCUAGUCGCUUCGGUAAGCACAACCCACCUUAACUUACUCUCCGAUUGCUUGUAGUCACUUGCAAUCGGCCGCACGCGACACCCGCGACCCGGUUUGGCUCGAACUCUCGCGCAAUCACCCAAACGAUCUCCGAUUUGCGAUCCGAAAAUUAAAGGUCUUCGGUUAUGUGCCACGGUGCUUCAAAUCCGUUUUCACGAUUUUACGACGUCGCCUCGGCCCUCCAGGCGGAAACGAAGCCUAAACGUCCGUUUCUUUAAUAACUUUGUAACGGCUCGUCGGAUUGCCGAACCGUCUUUGCCAACACGUUUCGUUACCUAGCAAUUAG